AUUGAACGCUGGCGGCAGGCUUAACACAUGCAAGUCGAACGAGUGGCGGACGGGUGAGUAAUGCCUGGGAAACUGGCUGAUGGAGGGGGAUAACUACGGGAAACGGUAGCUAAUACCGCGUACCAUAGGAUGAGCCCAAGUGGGAUUAGGUAGUUGGUGGGGUAAAGGCUCACCAAGCCGACGAUCCCUAGCUGGUCUGAGAGGAUGACCAGCCACACUGGGACUGAGACACGGCCCAGACUCCUACGGGAGGCAGCAGUGGGGAAUAUUGCGCAAUGGGCGCAACCCUGAUGCAGCCAUGCCGCGUGUAUGAAGAAGGCCUUCGGGUUGUAAAGUGCUUUCGGUAGCGAGGCGUUACCUGCAGAAGAAGCACCGGCUAACUCCGUGCCAGCCGCCGCGGUAAUUC
rnacentral:rRNA from 1 species